CACUCGCCGCUCACGGGAACGGAGCGCACGACCACCGCGCCGCACCCGCCGUGUGGGCCUGGACCCCUCCCCGAGCUAUUGUCCUAACCCUCAGGUAUCCUUCACUUCUCGCCUCCCAGAUAUCCGCCCAAGGUGAGGGCAUGACCCGUGAAGCCAGAAACGACCUUUCCCAAAGUUUCUCCCUCCAGGUACCUAAUUGAAUCAUCCAUAGGAUGACAAAUCCGUCAGGGCCAAGUUUUCCAGACACUUGGGUGACUUCCUCAUCCCUGAGGUGACUUGUCAGCUCCUGUGAGUAACUUGGAAGUAUCGCUCCAGGCAAGGUGUGUGUGUCUAGGAAGGAGCCGGCUGCUCACUCACGCUUUCCAGAGAGCUGCCCGGCAGACUUCAAAAUACACACGGGGUCAUUUAUAGGGACGGGAGACGUGAGCAGGACAAAGUCCCUGAAACUGAGACAUUUUCCAAACAGUGCUGACAUUUUGUCGGGCCGCAUAAAAAGGUAAACUCUAGGUGACGAACUCGGUGGGGAGGAUGAGCGUCUGAAUGUGUCUGCGCAUUUAGCGGCGUGGGAGGUUAUAGUUACAGACCUGAGGAUGCGGGUCACGGACUCAUCCCCCCGCGACGAGAUAAUGUACCCCCGACCCAAGGAUCUCCUGGAGCAAUGGGGACAUCGGCUGCAGAGUAACACAAGCACAGGAAACAGCCUUCGUGGAGCUCCACAAACACGUGGAACUGGAAGACAACUAGAGCCCCGUGUGCGCGCGAGAGACCUCACGUCAACCCAUCAGUUCCCACUUCGAGAUUCCCUUCGGGCGCUCUGAGGCAACUGACAAGAACACAGCCUGAUUCCUAAUUGAGGGUCGCUAUCUACCUCAGUAAUUUUCCCUCUGUUCUUCGUCUCCUUUUGAAUGCAAGUAUCCAAGCCCAAGAUGGCAAUCGAUGGGUUCAACCACACAGAAGAAAAUACUCAUAAAAUGAACCAUGCUGCAACAUCACAAAAACAAAGAAACCAAGUGGUAGAAGUUGCCAUGACUAUUCCAUUGUGGCUAGUUAUUGCAACAUGCCUGACAUUCACAUAAAAACUCGUCCUCAUUAACUCCAGCCUUCAGGAGCAGAGCAAGAUGUGAACUCUGAGCCUUCAAUGCAUCACGAGAAAUUCUCUUCAUUCACACUCUUGUGCUGUAUGGACUGUUCUCCUGG